ACAAUAGAGUAGAACUGCCACAAAUAGACAAUCAAGAGGCAAGUUCAGGCAUCCAACUCGAGGUGCCUGCAUGUGAUACAGAAACGUUUUACGGAGGUUAUGAAGAAUGGCCGUCCUUCCGGGACAUGUUCACAGCCGUUUACAUCAACCAUCCACAACUAUCAAAGGCACAAAAAUUGUAUCACCUCCGAUAUAAAACAAAAGGUCGAGCAGGCGAAAUAGUUAAACAGUUCGCAUUAAAUGCCGACAAUUUCAAUUUGACUUGGGAAGCUCUAAAAGCUAGAUUUGAAAACGAAAGAAUACUGGUAGAUAAACAAGUAACGACACUAAUGAACUUGCCAAAAGUUAAGAAAGGAACAAGUGUAGAAUUCAUCAAACUAGAAUCCACUGUUUCAAAUUGCUUGUCGAUUCUAUGGACACUAAAUAUUCCCACAGACAGCUGGGAUCCUAUUCUGGUAAACAUUUGCACCGCCGCAUUACCAGAAAUGUCGUUACUUCUAUGGGAGUAAUCGCUCUCAUCACGGAAAAAGUUGCCAACGUGGCAACAAAUGAAAGAUUUUCUUACCAACCAAUAUGAAAUUGCGGAAAGGUUGGAAGAAAAUAUAAUCACAACUAAGAACAUUAAACACGACCAAAAUAGAAGCUUAAAUAGAUCCCAAGCUAGAAGCAAAGCCAAAUCAAACAGAAUUUUUAACAAAACGCAAUCGUUCACAUCUGAACAACGAAAACAUACGUCAUGCGAACUAUGUAAAAGAGGGCAUAAACUUAAAUCUUGCGAGAGGUUUAAAAGCUUAAAAGUUAACGAACGAAAUAAUUUUGUCAGGUCAAAAAGACUUUGCACAAAUUGUCUGUAACAUGCGCAUACAUAUAAAAUAUUUAAGCAAAUUUAAUUGCUUACAUUGUCACAAAAGACACUGAUUAAAAUGUAUACUCGAUACAUUGAGGAGCACUCACCACUGCGUUAACUUAAAUAAAAACAUCCGGUUUAUUUUUGACACAUUUGGGAUUUCAACCAUUUUAUUUAAAUUUAUUGAUUUUUUUUAUAUUAGUCACUGUUGGCGAUCGAGUGGAUACGGAUCGUGGUUGAAUCCCUCAAUUGGAGGAGAAUAGCGUGAGGUGUCGACACAGCGCAGUAUAAGAAUAUAAAGUGGCGAAUUUUAAUGCGCGAAUGUGAAUGUGCGGCUUGUGAAGAUCGAAUUGUUGACGUGUUGAUAGGCGAACGACAGGUGACGAAUGAGUCGAACGAAUUGUGCCUGCUUUCCCUUUGCCCAUCCUUUUUGUUAAGUGGGUUUGCUGGUGUGGUGAGUUAUGCUGUAGUGUCAUCAGCUGUGGUGAAUGGCGAUGUAGCAUCAGGAUGCACCAGUUUUACCGAGUAGAGGUCCCCCUAGGCGAAUAUUUUGCCUAGUUUUAUUUAUAUAAUCUGAUGCAUGUAAUUCGGCUUACUGUUGGUGGAGUAACCGAGGCCGCAGAAUAUUAGCUGUAAGAAGCGAUUUUGGUUUUAAUAGCCAAUUGUAUUUGGUGUAAAUAGUGAUGCUUGAGGUAAUAAUUGAUUUUGCGUACUUUGACGACUUUUUGCAUUAUUAUACCAACAAAGUUCUUUGCUUUUAUUAAUUUUAUUAGCUGUUGUUUACAAUUUAUUAUUUAUCGGUUUGGCAUACCGGUAGUUUAUUAUAUGCCUUUUCUGUAUUAUCGGCAAUGUUUGGACUUUAUUUAUUCUCGGCUUAUGAAGAAUAGUAAUUCCACGCCUGGCUCAGAUAUGGCCAGAAUGGGUACUCCUUAGCCCUGGAGUUAGGGCUGUGACAAUAGAUGGAUCUUGCGAGAGAGUGGCCGGUAAUUGCGAACGGCUUCUAUUGGAAUUAUAAUUUGGUAAUUUCAAGUUUUUUUUUUUGUUUUUUUUUUGUAGUGAAAUGUUCAAGUUGUACAACCGAUUCCCAUCAACUACCCUUAUGAGAAGCGCUUUUGUAGGUGCGAUAAGAGCUACCUUUACUUUUGGUAAGUUUGGGUGCGUCACAGUAUCGCAUUGGGCAUAUGGUGUACCCUUAACUUUAAUUUUGAGUAUAAAUGAAAUUAUAUUUUAUUAUUUGAAAAUUAUUAAGCACUAGUUUAUAACAGGUGCCGAUGUUUCGAUUUUUUGAACCAUUUUAUUAUAUGUAACAUUUAAGCGUCUGUGCAUUAAUUUGGCAAAUAGUAGCUUUCCACCGCUUAAGGAUUUUUUCAGGACUAAGUUUGUUCUCAUUAAUGGCGAAAGCCAUCCUGCGGGGUCGAAAAGUAACAGAUUUAGUCGUUAGACCGAAAUCUUACAUUGUUUUUUCUACCAAUAUGUGAGGUAUUGGAAUAUUGUGGCUCUAGUGGUAGUCGUACGACGUACCGGCCAUUAUUUGAUCGAGUAGUUGUAGCUUUAGAGAAGUCUUCACAGUACUGAACUUCUAGAGUUUGAAAUUUCCUUAAUUGUGAAUUAAGGUAUUUCGGGCUCAACUUGAGUUGGUAUGGUUGUAACUAGUUCGGUAACUAGUCCACUUUGUGUUUCACUAUGGAGCGUUUGAAGUUUUUGUGCCUUUGGGCAACAUGGUGUGCCUUGGCAAUUUUUAGAAUUGUGGAUUUGCUUUUGUUAAACGCGUGGUUCUUUUUGUGUAAGCGCUUUUUUGGAGUGAGUUAGGAUGUCUGCUGUAAUGAAGCAUUGAAUGGUGUCUGUUUAAAUGAGUUAAGCAUCCACCCCCCCUACUCGGUAAAACUGGCGCAUCCUAAUGCUACAUCGCCAUUCACCACAGCUGAUGACACUACAGCAUAACUCACCACACCAGCAAACCCACUUAACAAAAAGGAUGAGCAAAGGGAAAGCAGGCACAAUUCGUUCGACUCAUUCGUCACCUGUCGUUCGCCUAUCAACACGUCAACAAUUCGAUCUUCACAAGCCGCACAUUCACAUUCGCGCAUUAAAAUUCGCCACUUUAUAUUCUUACACUGCGCCGUGUCGACACCUCACGCUAUUCUCCUCCAAUUGAGGGAUUCAACCACGAUCCGUAUCCACUCGAUCGCCAAGAGUGACAAAUCGUUCCCGGGAUUGGAAUAUCGCCGCCUCGCCCGUCGAUGUCAUAUUUAAUAAUGUUAUAUAAAAAAAAUCAAUAAAUUUAAAUAAAAUGGUUGAAAUCCCAAAUGUGUCAAAAAUAAACCGGAUGUUUUUAUUUAAGUUGAAGCAGUGGUGAGUGCUCCUAAAUGUAUCGAGUAUACAUUUUAAUCAUGGUCCUUCGAGCCUAAAAGACAGGCACUAUAAAUUAACAGCCACAAAAAAUAAAAUAAAACAAUAUCCAGUGCAGUGCGGUAAAAGUGAAUUGGCGAACAAACAAAAAUUAUAAAACAAACAAAAAAAGCUUAAAAACAAAAGUGUAGUGUCCCAAACAAAAAAAAAAUAUACCUAUACACCUACAUACAUAUGUAUAUACAAUAUAUGCAUUAGGUGAAAACUGUGAAAAAAAACAAAAACUUGUUUAUACUUAUAUACAACAAAAAAGACAAAAAUAAAAAAGUGCAGUGGAACGAAGAAAAUACCAAACUUACGGUGACAAAAAAAUAAACUUACAGAAACAAAAUAUACAAAACUUAACAAACACAAAAAACAUAAAUCGUGCACGAAAAGGGAAAGUACCUAACCAAUAACAUAAACAUAUGUAAAUGCAAUAAACAAACGGGAGCGAAUUAAACAUUAAAACAAAAAAAGAAACACAGACAAUCGGUUACGAAACCUUACAAAAUAAAAAACAAAUAAAAACAAAGUUAAACAAAAAAUCGGGCGCGAAAUUUAAAAGCGGCUUAACAAUAAAAUAUACACAAAAACAAACAAUCGGGCGCGAACGAACAAUAGCUAAAAUAUAUUAAAACAACAAAAAUAGUACCUGGAAACGGCUACAAAACUUAAGGAGAAAAGGAGUGGAGAAAGGAAGAGAACCAAAACGCAGAAGGCAUUAGGGCAAGAUAUGUGCAUACAUACACCCUGCGAAACAUAACAUGCAAAGGAAUACCAAGUGAGCGUAUUAUGUCCUGUAUUUAUUAAACAUAUGCACAUAAGUAUGUAUGUAUAUGCCUAAAAUUACAGUCGUACUUAUUAUACCUGUAAUUAAAAUCCGCUUCAAAGGCAAAAAAAAAAAAUAAAAAAUAUCAAAAUAUUUAUAUAUAAAAUUAUUGAGGCUCAAAAAACAAAGAAAAAUUGAAGCAAUUACUUUCGAAAAACUUCCGGCAAACCCAUUAUAUAUAUUUAUAUAUUCACAUAUAUCUAUAAAGCAUAUCAGACAGCCGUUCUAAUAGAAACAUAUGCACAUAUAUACAAGAGAAAAUAUCUUCCUUCUAUUCCGUUUUCGCGUUCUCUCUCUAUCGCGAAAUAAUAUAAGCAUACGGCAAUACAAAUCUGCCUAUUCUAUACCCUACAUACAUUGGGUCAAUUAAUUAUUACAAAAUUAUUAAAAAAGUAAUUUUUGAUUGCGAAAUUAAAUAAACGACAUACAUAAUAUAUUAAAAUCUACCAAAAAAAACGCACCUUAGCAUAAAUAAAUAAUUGAACAAAUACAUAUUCGUAUACACAUAUUUUCAUAUACAAAGUCCACAUUGGCAAUUAUCCGGCGAUACCUCUUGUUCUUUGGCAAACAAAAACAAGCAGGAUUGCGUUCAAAAUGCGAAUUGAUCUCUUUAACGAGCUCUCAAUUGCUUAGGAACAAAGCAUAUUCAUAAACGCACAAACAAUUUGUGCAUACUAAUCAAAAAAGCGAAUUGAUCUCUCCAACGAGCUCUCAAUUGCUUAAGAAUAUAAGAAAAAGCAUAAUCAUAAGCACACAAACAAUUCGUGCAUACUUAUGUAAAUAGCGCAUUGAUCUCCUCAGUGAGCUCUCAAUAGCACAAAACAUAAGUACAUACAUACGCAUGUAAAUACAAGUACACGUAUUAGGGUGUGCCUAAUUACACAACAUUAGGGCAUAAGAAAUAUAAAUUAAUUGAAGAAAAGAAAAAAUUUAGAAUUUAAAAUAAAUUCUAUCGGAAUUAAAUACCAAAAAAAUAAAACGUUAAUAAAACUAACACUAUUUUAGCAAGAUAAUCGAAAUUCAAAACACUAUAUACCUAAAAGAGUAUUCGGUUUCAAGCAAUACCCUAUUGCCUUAUUUACAAAAACAAAUUUAAUUAUUUACAAAUAAAAAAUAAAAUAAAACCAAAAUGGUUAAUAACGCAACAAAUCAAAAUACACCUGCAGGAGCUACACGCUCAAAACAGGUUGUUAAAUUCAUUUCACAAAGUGACAGUUUAACAAGAUACUGCACUAGAUUUGCUUCUUCGCCGAUUCAUGAAAACUCUGAAUCGUUAUUAGAAAUCAAAAUUCAAAAUCUUGAAAACUUUUGGGCUCGCCUCCAAGCGGCUCAUGACGCCAUUCUCGAUUCUAACGAUUCAGAUACACACAAUUUCAAAUCAUCGGCUUACGAUAUAUACGAAAACCGCUUAGACCAGUAUGAAGAAACGAAAGGCAAGUUCAGGCAUCUACCUCGAGCUGCCCCCAUGUGACACAGAAACCUUUUACGGAGGUUAUGAAGAAUGGCCGUCCUUCCGGGACAUGUUCACGGCCGUGUACAUAAACCAUCCUCAAUUGUCACAAGCGCAAAAAUUGUAUCACCUCAGAUACAAAACUAAAGGUCAAGCAGGCGGAAUAGUCAAACAGUUCGCAUUAAAUGACGAUAAUUUCAAUUUGGCUUGGGAAGCUCUAAAAGCUAGAUAUGAAAACGAAAGAAUACUGGUCGAUAAGCAAGUAACGACACUAUUAAACUUGCCUAAAAUCAAGAAAGAAACAAGUGAAGAAUUUGUAACACUACAAUCCACUGUUUCUAAUUGUUUGUCGGUUCUAUUGACACUAAAUAUUCCCACAAGCAGCUGGGAUCCAAUUCUCGUAAACAUUUGCACCGCCGCAUUACCAGAAAAGUCGUUACUUCUAUGGGAGCAAUCGCUCUCAUCACGAAAAAAGUGCCCAACGUGGCAACAAAUGGAAGAUUUUUUCACCACCCAAUAUGAAAUUGCGGAAAGGUUAGAAGAAAAAAUAAUAAAAAAUAAGAACAUUAAACACGACCACAAUGCAAGCUUCAAUAGACCCCAAGCUAGAAGCAAAAACAAAUCAAACAUAAUUUUUAACAAAACACAAUCGUUCACAUCCGAACAAAGAAAACAUACGUCAUGCGAACUAUGUAGAAGAGGGCAUAAACUUAAAACUUGUGAGAAGUUUAAAAAAUUAAACAUUAACGAAAGGAACAACUUUGCCAGAUCAAAAAGACUCUGUACAAUCUGCUUGUCCCAUACACAUAAUCUUAAAAAUUGCAAAAGCAAAUUCAACUGCUUGUAUUGUCACAAAAGACACCAUUCGAUGCUUCACUACAGCACAUUUCCUAGCUCACCCCAAAGAAGCUCUUAUGCACAAAGAACCACAGAUUUAAUUGCAAAAGCAAAUCUUGAAACACAAAAUACUUAAAAUUGCCAAGAGACACCAUGCUGCUCAAAGGCACAAAAAUCUCAAACGCUGCACAGCGAAGCACAAAAUGGACUAGUCACAGAACUAGUCACCACCAUACCAACUCAAGUUGACUAUAAUAACAAAUGCCUUAAUUCACAAUUAAGGAAAUUUCAAAAGUCAAGGAAACUCCUCCCUAUAAUAAACAAAACUCUAGAAGGUCAGUAUUGUGAAGACUUCUCCAAAGCCACAACUACUCGACCAAAUAAUGGCCGGUACGUCGUACGACUACCACUAGAGCCACAAUAUUCCAAUACCUCACAUAUUGGUAAAAAAAAAACAAAGUAAGAUUUCGGUCUAACAAUAUUAAAAAUUCAAAUAUAUGUUACUUUUCGACCCCGCAGGAUGGCUGGCUUGCGCCAAUAAUGAAAAAAAAACUGAACAAAUCCUUGAGCGGAGGCGGGCUACUAAACGCCAAAUUAGUGCAUACGCACACUUAUUAUAAAUUUUCAAAAAUAAAUAAAAUCUCAAAAGUAAGUUAAGGGAUCACCAUACUCCCAAUGCGAUAAAGUGACGCACCUACACUUACAAAAAGGAAAAGGUGGCUCUUAUCGUAUCUAUCCAAGCGCUCCUCAUAUGGGUGAGUUAUGGAAAUCAGCUAUACAAAGCUUCAACUUAAGUAUAGAAAAUUGUCUACUCCACGAAUCGAAGCCGUUCUCUAUUCACGGCCACUCCCUCGCAAGAUCCCUCUAAUUUCAUAGUCCUAAUCCAGGGUUAAGGAGUACCCAUUCUGGCUCUAUAUGAGCCAGUCGUGGAGAUACUAUCCUUCAUAAGCCGAUUUAUUUGGCGAUAAUCCAGAAAAAGGAAGUAAUAAAUGGUCAGCAUAAUAACUAUCAAAGAAGCAACCGCUUUAUAUUAUAACUACGAGAUGCAGUUACAAACUCGUAAAUCCGCAAAAAUAUAGUUUCUUAUUGUAUGCACGUUACAGCAAAUAUGGCACAUUCCAAAUACUAUAUUUAAAACCAAACCCGUUUUCAACAUUUAUGGCAUGUACACGGAAAUACAUGCAACAGUAUAAAAGCGUAACACUAGGCAAAAUAUUUGCCUAGGGGGCCCAGGAUGUUUAAAUGAGUUAAGCAUCCACCCACUCUACCGGGGAAAAACUUGCCCAUCCUAGUAAGACACAGCUAAUCUACCACAGCCGAUGACACCAUAACACAUACAUUACCACACAACACAACUCACCACACUUCUACAUCAACCCACAAAACUUAAGGAUGGUCCGCUGAGCAGGUUCAACAUUCCUUCUAAACAAUCCGUCUGCACAACAUUCCCUUCUAUACUGCGCCGCGUCGACACCGUUCAACACAAUUCAUCACCUGCAGUUCGCCCAUCAACACACCAACGUUCCGCCCGCACCGACUUGCAGCGAUCCAACCUAGAUUCGACGCGAUAUAUUUUCGCAACACAUUGUACUCUAAGAAAAGGAUAAUUUUAAAUAAAUUGCACCUUUUAAAUACAUUUCCUUUUUUUCAUUUUAAACACUCGCGCGAGUGUGAGUGAAUAUUGAAAUCUGUGGUUUGUAUUCCCACGUAAAAUUGGUCAGCAUUUAAUCAGUUUGAUUUUAAAAGCCAAAAUUUGCCGUACGCAUAAAAUGCCAAUGACGCUGUCGUUAAACAAAAGUACCACUGUUGGGGUGUUCCGAUGCCGGAAAGGGAGUUGUCGGAACCGAAGUGCGCUGGCAAGUUCGAGCGAUACCUGGUUCGACAACGUCAAAAUCGCACUUCCACAGGUAUUUUAUCUAAUGUAUGCGUAUGCAUCUCAUUGGUCACAUGCGGAAGUGAGGAAAAACAGUUUUAUCAGGGAACCAGUUUUAUCUAGCGCUACAAUAUGUGACUGGUAUAAUUACUGCCGCGAAGCUGUAGUAUUAUACCAGGUUGACCAUCAGGUAGCGGUAGGUAAAAUUGGUGGCCUGGUAAAACUGUUCAAACAGACGAAAGCAAAUUUGGGAAGCCAAAAUACAACAAAGGUACUAAUAAAAAUAUCAUUUUUUUUAUGUAAUUAAUAUAUCUUUUCUUAUUUUAGGGCGGAGAGUCGAGGGCCACUGGGUUCUUGGGAUGGUUGAGGAUGGGAGUGACGACCUUAGGCUGGAGGUAUGUCCCGGCAAUGUCAGGUCUGCUGAGGUGCUCAUACCUUUGAUAGAGAAGCACGUGGCAAAAGGCAGUACUAUAUGUACUGAUUGCUGGAGGGCAUACGACUGUCUGGCCAGUCACGGGUAUGAGCACCGACGCGUUAAUCACAGCGACCCCGAUAAUCCGUUCGUUGUCGAGGACGGGACGCAUACUCAACGCAUCGAGUCCCAGUGGCGAGUAAUUAAACGUUUUUUAUUAAGGACAAUUACAAUAAUAGCGAAGAUUUUUCCAAUUUAUUUUUUGAAUAUAUUUGGAGAAAAAAUAUUGCAAAUAAUCAUCAUGAUCCUUUUGUAAAAUUAUUAGAUGCAAUUAAAUAUACUUAUAACUUAAAACUUUUUUUAUUACAAUGGAAAAUUUAUUUCAAAUGCUUAUUUUAAGCAAAUAGGUGAAUAAUUACUGGAAAAAACAUAUGUAGAAACAAUGUAGUGAAGUGUAAGUGCAUAAAAAGACAUAAUAUGAAUUAAAUAAUUACUAGCAAUCGAGAAAUUGCAAGAUAAAAUUUGCAAAAUUUUCAACUUUAAAUGCAAAUAUCUCGAAAACUAUAAGUUUGCGGAUGGUAUACUAAAGUUUCCCCCUAUGUAGGGUCAUGGGUACCACAAACGUUUAGCUUACGAGAUAUUCGAGCAAAAGUUCAAAAAUUCAAACAAUUUAACAAGCUAUUUUACAACAUUUAAAAUACUUUUCACAUAUUUUUCACUUCAAAUCAAUUAAAUUACAUUGUAAAUAUUUAAACAAGUUCCCAUUUUACACUUUUUCUAGGGUUUUUAAAUAAGAAAUCUAUAUUUUAAAAAUACAUUUUAUAUUCGUAGUGGACAUUAUUUAUGUGGAAAUAGAUCGCUGCCAUAUGAUAAUAAGCAAGUAUGAGCUAUUCGCUGAAAUUCGUAUUGUGUAAAGCCCACGGUCAAAAAACUGAUUGGACUUUAUCAGUAUCGAUUUUAAAGCUGCUUUUGACGAAAAGGAGCUGCCUCUCUCUUAAUUUGGCACGCCUGCAAAACGAAUACAGCUGUGUAAGCUGACAUUAAGCAAAUCAAAGCUCCGUCAGAUCGGGAAGGAUCUCUCCGAACCGUUCAAUACCAGAGAAAAUAAUUCGAGCUGCAGAACUUAAUCGAGCAGGUACAACUUUUAUAAGAGUGUACAGCUGCUGGCGUAUGCCGAUGAUAUUGAUAUCAUCCGCCUCAACACCUUCACCGUUAGUUCUGCUUUCUCCAGACUGGAUAAGGAAGCAAAGCAAAAGGGUCUGGCAGUGAACGAGGGUAAGAUGAAAUAUUUCCUGUCAUCAAACAAACAAUUGUCGAACUCGCGACUAGACUACCACGGCACUGUUGACAGUCAUACUUCGAAGUCGUAGAUAACUUCGUCUAUCUUGAAAACAGUAUUAGCACCAACAACAAUGUCAUCCUCAAAAUCCAACGUUAUUUUUUGCAGUGGGGCCGAAGGCCGUCAACGCCGAAAAGAGUAUUACACGAAAGUACAUCAGUUACCCCGGGUAUUGACUCUACCAGGGUUAUUUUUCUAGUGCAGAAAAAAAAAUAAAGUACAAACAAAGAAAUCGAUGUUGUUGCAAAAUCCUUCAUUUUUCGAAAUCGUGUCUAAAAAACGAUCAGGUUGUCCCCGAAAGUCAACUGAGAGAACAGUCAACUUACUACGGCGGACAAGUUUAAGUGACCGCUUUAGAAGUGUACUUUCUUUAAGAGCGGAUAUGCAAAAUUUUCACUAAGUGUAGAAACCAUACGCCGAAGGUUUAUUCGUAAGAUGUCUUGCGAAAAAGGUGCCAUUAACACAAUAAAUAUAGGCUUUCUUUGGUUUUAAAAGUACCUAAAUCGGGAAUCAAAUGAGUGGCAACAGAUUAUGAGAUCUGACUAAAGAAAAUUUAAUUUACUAAGCUCACAAAAUUUGUUUUUACGCGUAGUGAGAGGUGCCAGGAUAAAAAUGAAGUUUCCUGAUAGACAAAUGAUUCAAGGCUGCUUUUGGAAGCCUAGACCCUACACCUUGUUGGUGGAAUGAUGAAUUCACAAAAAUAUGCGACAGAGGUUAACAUUCUUUAGUACCCGCAAUUGGAGAGCAUUAUCCUCAUACGGAUCGCCUAAUCUUCCGAGAUGAACAGCUAUACAUUAUUGGUGUAUACAAGCCUAUUUUUUUUUUAAAUUGAACAAUACAUUAAACACGCCCGACUUAAGGCCUUUGGCACAGAAUGAGGUGACUAAACAGAAGUCAACAAAUAUAAAUCAAUUGAUAAAGAUUUUAGAACUGGUUUGAUUUGUUAUAAGGACAUCAUUUGAGGACCUAGUGAAUUCCAUGCUUCAACUGUUGACAAAUUUUUCUCAACUUUGUUUUAAGCAUUUUACAUUGAGAAAAAACAUUUUCACAAAUAUAUACAUAAUAGCCCGCUUCAUUUCGUUCGAUAACACUGGUUUACAGCAAAAAUGUUCCACGAACGCCACUAUCCAAUUUGUAUGUGGAAUCGCUCACUGAUUUCGAAAAUCGAAUAAAUUUUUUUUUAUCGAUACGUUUUUGAGAUAUUUGCAAUUUACCGUUAUUCGACCAAAAAAAAAGGUGUCUUCAUUUAAUUAUGUAUAUCUCACUGACCAGUUGAGCAAUCUUUCUGCAAAUUAUAGAAAAUAAAAUUGAAUGAAAUUUCCUAAAAAUAUUGUCUACUCCAUUUUUCCAUAGGCCUUAUAAUUUCUGAGAAAUUUAUUAAUCACUUCGUGUUUUUAAAUUUUUUUAUGAAAAAAUUAAAAAAAAAUAAAUUUUGGCAAGGAAAAAAUUUUAAGACAAAAGAUAUUUUUAAAAUUUUUUUUUUAUUUUAUAUUAAGUCCUGUUUCUUUAUAAAAAACUAAGCUACCAACGAACAAAAUCCAUGGAUAAAUAGGAAAGUUGUACAUGAUUAAAUAAAUAUAUCCAAGUCGCGCAAAGUCAAUGUAUUCGUAUAUGCGUAUGUAGUGUGUAAAGUAGGGGUGGGAUUGUUUUCGAAUAUCAUUAGAAUAAACUAAUAACGCUAUUCGUUUAAAAAAAAUCAAAUAAUACUUUUAGAACAGUAAUACUCAAAUACUGUUGUAGUAGUUUGCAUCGAAAGCAAGAGGUGUCAGGUUCGAAACCCCUGUAGUCAUGUUAAUUUGCUUAACAUGUGUGUAGGUAUACAGGCAGAUUUUCGAAGGGUAAUUAGUUGCGGAAAAUUCCUAAUGCAAAUAAAUUUAAUUCAAACAUGGGGUGAUUUUUUAAGAGCUUGAUAACUUUUUUUAAAAAAAAAACGCAUAAAAUUUGCAAAAUCUCAUCGGUUCUUUAUUUGAAACGUUAGAUUGGUUCAUGACAUUUACUUUUUGAAGAUAAUUUCAUUUAAAUGUUGACCGCGGCUGCGUCUUAGGUGGUCCAUUCGGAAAGUCCAAUUUUGGGCAACUUUUUCGAGCAUUUCGGCCGGAAUAGCCCGAAUUUCUUCGGAAAUGUUGUCUUCCAAAGCUGGAAUAGUUGCUGGCUUAUUUCUGUAGACUUUAGACUUGACGUAGCCCCACAAAAAAUAGUCUAAAGGCGUUAAAUCGCAUGAUCUUGGUGGCCAACUUACGGGUCCAUUUCUUGAGAUGAAUUGUUGUCCGAAGUUUUCCCUCAAAAUGGCCAUAGAAUCGCGAGCUGUGUGGCAUGUAGCGCCAUCUUGUUGAAACCACAUGUCAACCAAGUUCAGUUCUUCCAUUUUUGGCAACAAAAAGUUUGUUAGCAUCGAACGAUAGCGAUCGCCAUUCACCGUAACGUUGCGUCCAACAGCAUCUUUGAAAAAAUACGGUCCAAUGAUUCCACCAGCGUACAAACCACACCAAACAGUGCAUUUUUCGGGAUGCAUGGGCAGUUCUUGAACGGCUUCUGGUUGCUCUUCACCCCAAAUGCGGCAAUUUUGCUUAUUUACGUAGCCAUUCAACCAGAAAUGAGCCUCAUCGCUGAACAAAACACGCGCGCGAAACACAUUUCGAACCGAACACUGAUUUUGGUAAUAAAAUUCAAUGAUUUGCAAGCGUUGCUCGUUAGUAAGUCUAUUCAUGAUGAAAUGUCAAAGCAUACUGAGCAUCUUUCUCUUUGACACCAUGUCUGAAAUCCCACGUGAUCUGUCAAAUACUAAUGCAUGAAAAUCCUAACCUCAAAAAAAUCACCCGUUAUAUGCACAUACACAUAUCUUGGUAAAUUCAUUAAUUUUUUUAAGGCCGACAUCAACAGCAGGUAGUAUUUUCUUUUCCCGGCUCGUUAAUAUGAAGGAACUCUUUUGUUUAGGUAGGUUUUGCCUUUUUUUAUUUUUUCGCGAUCAAGCUAUAUAUAAGGAUAAAUGCCCCUUGAAAGUUCAUAAUAUCUGUAAGGCUCGCCGGUUCCAGUUUAUAAUUACAAUAUAAGAAACCGUGAGCUGUUUUUAAAAAUAAAAUGAGUAAACCUACGGAGAGAAUUUGAGUGUACCAACGAUCCGGAUAUGUUCUGUUACAUAUGCGGUGAAUAUACUCUUGUACGGCAUCGGAGGCAGUUUAGAGAUUCGAUCCAAUCUAUAUAUUCAAAAUAGUUUGGUAUUGAGCCUAAAAAUAUUGACAAACCAUGGACUCCGAAAAUUUUGUGUUCCUUUUGUCGAAUAAUAUUGGUUCAAUGAGAAUUAGGAUCAACAAAGCGAUACAUGAAAUUUAAUGUACCAAUGAUAUGGCGAGAACCUACAUGCCACUCAGAAGAUUGUUAUAUUUGUAUGACAAAAGUACAUGCCUCUCGUAUGCAACAAUUUCAAUUCGUGACACCCCAUGUUAAGGUGACGUAUUAUAGAAAUCGUCACCAACCAUUUGCCAAACACUAUACGAAGGAAGACAAUGUAUGCUAUUGCAAAGACAUUCCAGGAUUAUUCAAAGAGUUUGGUCAACCAUAUGAUUCCGAGGAGUGGCGAUUGUUCAUAGACAGCAAUAAACUGAGCUUGAAGGCCGUAUUACUGCAUAAUGGCAACAAAAAGCCCUCGAUCCCAAUCGCGCAUGCAGUAAACACGAAGGAAACAUACGAGGUAAUGGAGAAAUUGUUAAAAUUCAUCAAAUAUGAAGAGCAUGAUUGGAAAAUAUGUGCCGAUCUUAAAGUCGUUGGAAUGUUAUGCGGUCUACAAAGUGGCUACACAAAACACUGCUGCUUUCUCUGCAAAUGGGAUAGCUGAGCUCGUAAAGACCACUAUUGCAUUAACGAUUAGCCGGAAAGAGUUGAAUUUACAAUUGGUGUGGAUAAUAUCAAAUACGUCCCACUUGUAAGAAGGAAAAAAUCAUUCUUUCGCCAUUGCACAUCAAGCUCGGCCUUUUUUAUACACAUCGUAUUGACAUGCCAUUCUGUGGCCGCCACAUAAGUGAUAAUGAUGAUGUUAUUGGUCGACGGGACCGUGCAUUCCGGCUUAUUGGUGGUCGUCGAACUGCGCCGCGGUUGCAGUCUGCAGGAUCUUCACCGAUGUCAUGACUAGGGGGCUACUCUGUAAGGCGUUGCGCAAGUGUAAACGCUCGUUAAUGAAAAAAAGCACCUCUGUAAGGCGACAAGCGCAUUGGAAAUUGGGUUUUGCGUAUUUAUUUUAUCCUUUCGCAAUGGAAUCACUCUGCAUUGCGUAAACGAAUGUCAAAUCUGUGCGUUUAACGAAUUUUUGAUUCGAUAUCAAACUGACAAGCGCAGCCGACAAAAAAUGACAACUGAAAACUGUGGACUCGAAAAAUACUGCAAAUAGUUUAUGGAAAGAGCUGGUAUGUGAUCUUAAUGCUGAGGGGCCACCAUCGCGCGAUGUUUUAAAAUGGAAAAAGGUUUGGUCGGAUUAUAAAACACAUUUGAAAGCAAAAAUGGAGCGGAACAAUCUAAGUAUCUCUGGAACUGGUGGUGGUCCUCCAAGUCAUUGCUGGUUAACACCGCUGGAGAAGCAGGUUAGUGAGCUCCUGGCAAUAGAAAUAUCCGUCAGUGGAAUAAGCGGCACCUCAGAAUUUGAUGCAGCACAGUUAAAGCAAUCAAGUGGGUCAGACAUGACAACCGACGAAUUCCGACCGAAUGAACCAACGCCAGUGGAUGAAAUGCCACAUUGUUCACGUCAAAGAGUCGCUCCGCAAAAGCAAGGGAGCCUUUUAAAUAAGCAAGUGGAUAACCAAAUCGCUUAUCACACAGGUUCAUUACCCGUGUUGUCCGAAAUUAAUGAAAACCUAAAGGUGAUUUCAAAAUGUAUGAAAAAAACAUAAAAUGGGUAAAAGAUUAUAUAAAUUGGCUGUUGAAAAAUUCGAACACAAAAAAGGAUUGAUUUGGACAAAACAAAAUUAAAAUUCCCAACAUUAGAAAUAAAAAAGCAAAUGCUAGAAAUUGAACGGCGCGACCAAUAAAAAUGUUGUAUUUUAGUUAUUGACAUUGAAGUCUGUUAGUUCUUUUUUAGUACUUACUGAUAAUUAUUUAUUUAUUAUAUUAAUAGUUUAAAAGAAUUGUUUUGAUUUAAAGACGUAUUUUGCGUUGCUGUGAUAGUUUUUACUUUUUAUUACAUGUAUAGAUGUGCAAGAGACUAAAGUUUUAUAACAUUAAUGUGAAUUUUAAUCAAAUAAAUGUGAAAAUGUGAAAAAUUAAAA